UGACUAUCCACAGGCAGGGCUAGAAAAGGGAGUGGAACAUUUUACUUAGGCAGGAAGCACUGAAGAGAAGAAUCUUUUUUUCAGUAGACAUUUGUGGGAAAUAAAAAUUUGUUUAGAAGAAUUUAGGCCAAGAGAUAAAAUGGUCUUCUUUUGACUGAGGAGAGAUAAGAUAGAUUUUAAGCAGACAUCUGAAGUUAAAGGAGUUGUGUUUUCCUGAUUCUUCAUGGUCCAUGUAGAUGUGUUGAUGUCUGUGCAACUGAAGGAACAAUCACCUCUUCCAGUAUUUAUAGACUGCUUUUUGCAGGUCUGCAGGCCUGCCUCUGUGAGUACAGAUGGGUUUGUCUCCAGUGUGUGGGUACACCUGCCUGUGGACUGAGCUGAUCAGGGUUGAAGCUAGGUCACAGAGAUGCUUCAGGAGUUGAAGUUGGAACUGCAGUCAGCCAGCCUGUUACCCAAGAGACAAGCAGAAUACAUUAUCUUUUGUUUUAUGCUGAAGUAGAGUGCAGCAAGCAAAAAGCAGCAAAAGACACAUAAUCAAAGUACUUGGAAUGCUGACUGUAAAAUUAUGCUGAGAACUGGCUGCAUGAUAAGAUGCUUUUCCUUCCUCUUUGUUAUUUGUAUUAUUUUGUAAAGAUAGGCCAGUGUGAGUAUGUCCAAAUAAGCUAAUAAUCUAUUUCCCUUAAAAUUUCAGCAAAUAUUCAAGAGAAUAAAAAUGUAAGUUAUUGUCCACACAGCUAAUGUUAAUUUUUCAUUAACAUAAUUUAAGUCUCGGUGAUAGUUUGAAAAUGUUCAUAAUGUUCAUUAUCUAAUAAAAUAGAUAAUUGUGGAAUUAUCUAACUCGUAGAAGAUUAAUUGUGGAAGAGUUGUUUGUAUAUUUGUAACUGUCUCGUUUUUAGUAAAACCAAUUUUUUUUUCUGAGUUAAAAUAUUAAACAAUGAAAAAGUAAACUCAAUAAAUGUAAUUCAGUGCCUUGCAUAAUAGAAAAAUGUUAACAAGGUAAAAGCUGUUAAAAUUGGGAUGGUUUCAAAUUUUAAUGUGAAAAUUUCUGUGAUAAUUUAAUCUGCUAAUAUAAUGUUUAACUCUAGAUCUCUUUCUUGUGACAUGGCUCGAUGCAAUUUAGGUUGCUGUCAUUAAAAUUCUACAAGCACAUCAUACAGGCCUAUCUGCAGUGUAC
rnacentral:lncRNA from 10 species